GAUUUCUGGCUUGUCGCCCUCUGCCGGCCGCGGUUUCGCGUGUCAGUGCGGCUGGCGCUGGCCAUCCAUCCACGCUCGCCCGCUGCUCUUCAUUGACGCAGUGAGGCGGGUUGGAUCUGUUACUUUGAAAAAAUUAGAGUGUUUCAAGCAGGCUCAAUGCUAUGAAUACAUUAGCAUGGAAUAAUAAUUUAGGACUUCGGUUCUAUUUUGUUGGUUUCUAGGACUGAAGUAAUGAUUGAUAGGGAUAGUUGGGGGUGCUAGUAUUCAGCGGCCAGAGGUGAAAUUCUCGGAUUCGCUGAAGACUAACUUAUGCGAAAGCAUU
rnacentral:rRNA from 1 species